UAGUAAUAUUGCUCAUGUAGUGUCCAUAUAAAUGUUACCGCAAUUAAAAGAAAAGGUAUGGCGGAAUCUGAGAACAAGUUCGAGUUUGAUGCUGACUAGGCUAGCAACCCAGUGUCUCGUAUCAUGAAAUGUUUUUCCCGUUCCUGUCACAUACGCAAACCACGUUUUCUUUUGUUUGCUUUCGUCCAUCGCUGCCGAGAACGGCCGGCACGACAUGGACCCGGUCGUGUCGUGCACUCAUCUGCUGGCCGAGGACGAUGCCGGAUUUUCUGGCUUCGUCACCAGGUGAAGCGUGGGAGGCAGCACCGGAGGCAGCUGUACGAGUCAGAGCAACAAGGUCGACCUGACUUCUUUGGCAGCGAGGUGAACAUCUCCUGCAGCAUGCUCAUGUCAAGCCACAUGUAGCAGCUGCGAGCAACGUACGUGACACAGUGUUCAUGCCACUGGCAAGGCUGCAGCACACUCUGUUGUCCUCGCGCAGCCGGAUGCUCCAUUUUGGAUGUCGGUUGGCCAGGAUGUCCAGCAAGUUCCAGAGCAGCGUGCUCACCGGAAGUUCUCCGGAGGAUCCGGAUGCUCACCGGAGGAUCUCCCCACCACGGACUUCGGAGAAUCCCUCGAUCUGAAGCAACCUGGUGCGCGAGCCACCGAGCAGCCGCUGACCCAGACUGGAGAGGUUCAGCUCGAACGCCAGGUUUCGAACUUGCGUCAGAGCGGCCACUUUCACUGUCACGACGACGUGGCCAUUCGCACCGUUGCUGAAAAUUACGACAAGCGCUUGGUUCCGCACACACAAAAAUAAAGUCUGAAAACACCGCAGGCCAAAAGGCCAGAAGACGACGACGACGGCGACGUGUAACGCCCGUGACGUGCAAGAUGUCUUACACUUCACGUACCACGACUCGAACUAAUAAGUGUUUACGGGGGCCGGAGGAAUGCUUUUGCUGGUGUACGAAUGGUUAAGAGCUUCGAAAUAAAGUUACGGUGUGUGGAAUUAA